AAGAAGCAAAUCACACUGACACACUCCUCCCCGAGCCGGGCGCUGACCUUUCUCGCUUCUUUUUCUCAGUUUUGAUUCAUUUAAAUUUGACUUUCAGUGACUCGAGUUGAACUCACCUUUCUCACCCACGGCUCGGCUGGACAGGCAGAGCUGCCCAGGUGGACACUUCAGGGGGAAUCUGAUGCAGUCCAGAGGGGAGAUGGUGGGGAACACACAGGUGUAACAGAAGAGGGGAGCUGAAGUACAGAUCUGCUUCCUUUGAGGUCGUCAUCUGCAGGUCCUGCUCCACCACAUCACGCAUCUUCUCUGAGGUCUUCCACUUUUCCUCCUGCCUGGUAUUAAAUAUCCUUUCUAAAACAUAUCCACCAUCCCUUCUCUGCGCAUGUCCAAACAAACUCAGGCUCGCCUCUUCUGAUAUAUUAGUUUCUAAUCCUGUCCGUCCGGUCACUCUCAGUGAAAUCCUGCCUCAUGUCGUUUUAUCAGUGCCACAGUCUCCAAACCAUACAUCACAGCAGGUCUCACUACCGUCUUAUAAACCUUCCCUUUUACUCUCACAUGUAUCCUUCUGUCUCAUCUCCACCCACUCCACCCUGCGUGCACUCUCUUGUGCACUGUUUGCCUCAGCUAUUUAAACUCUUCUAUCUUAACUACCUCUGAUUGUUACUACACUUUGAUAUUUCUCAUGCGACACAAAGAGGUUUUUUAUAUAUACAAGUAAUAUAAAGAUCAAACAUAUUCAUUAUUAAACAAAAAUAUUUCUGUAUUUUAAAAGAAUUUUAUUUUGGCAGUUUUUUUAAGGUGUAAUUGUUCCAGUUUCCCAGUCACAUGUUUCUCCGUCUUACAUUACAGCUACUUAAACAGUUCUUUUCCAAAAAUUUCAUACAUCAAACAAUGAGGGAAAAAUAAUAGAUUUUAAUUAUGCAAGAAAAUAAGGUUUUUAAUAUUGAUGUUAGCCUUGGAGCUUUCUGUCUGCUAUAGCUGCAUGGAUUGUGCCUUUAAACACACAAGCAGAAGCAUGCACACACUGUAUUUGCUGACUUACCCACAGCUGGAAGUAAACACAGGAGAAGCAGAGAGCCAAGCAGCUUCGACAUCACUGAUGUUUCUGUCUCACAGGGAGAAAAUCCUCCUGCCAGUCGACGCUUCAGUUCUUAAAGGCGUUUCUUUCAGAAUAUUUUCUAGAAUGAAUCAGCUGUUUUCAUCUUGAAUUCAAAAAAAUCAAGUUGUUUUUGUUUGUUUUUUUAAUUUAAAGCUGAAGUUUUACAAACCGGCUUCACGCAGACGGCGCAGCCACAGAGAUCUGAAGGUAAAUCUCUUACUGGUUUCUCUUAAUAUUCCCUUAAUCAACUCUGGGAGAAUCUCCCACCCCACUCCUUAUGAUUAAAUUAGACUGCUAGACUUCUGUUCCAAGCCAUGGCUGCUUAGAAAAGGUCCAUUCAGACUUAAGAUAAUCAACGGGGCUUUAUGAAGAAAAUCCACAUCUGUGUAGCUUAAAAUAUGGAAAAAGUAGAAGGUAUUAAGCUUUUUUCUUUUUCUAAAGAAUGACAUGACAUGUGUCUGUACUGAGGUAAAGCAGGGCAGGUUUAUUAAAUCACAUCUCAUCUCCUAAUGAAAGACGUUGAGUUUGGUGGGAGGGAUGUCAAGUGACCUGCAGUCCCAUGACUAGAAAAGUGAGUAGAAGCAAUGAACAGUCCCACAGUUUCAAACUGAAAACAGGGUGAUUUCAUGUUUUUUCACAGUAAGAUUUGUUCAUAGUGUUUGUAUUGAAAUAAUCUGCAGUAUGAGAUUAUUGUGUGGUUAGAUAAGAUAAUCAAAUUACUCCAUCUCUGGAUACUUUUUCCUGUUUCUGUUUUUCAGGCAUACAAAAGGUCAUUCUUUCCAUUAUGGUGAUGUGUUAUUUCACUACAAAAUAACCUAAUUAGAUCAGAACGAAAGUGUCUGUGUGUCUGUGGAGUGAUACGCUGUCUUGAGAUAAACCCACAGAAUUAGACUGGUUUCAAACCCAGAGCUGAAUUCUGUGGAGCUGCUGAAGAUUUCACCCUAACAGCACAGGCGUUAAACUUCAACUCUUCUAGGAAAACUCUCCAGUAAGAGAAGGCAAAGCUCUCUUUAUUUUAUUUCAUCCCCCCUACUGUAAAUCACAAUAACAAUGACAAUAAAGGGCUAUUCUAUCAGGCCAGACUGCAGAAUGACAGUCUGCAGUAUUUAGAAUGCGAUUCCUAAAUGCUGCAAUUCUUUGAGUGGCCACUUGAUGAUGGUUCCAGAUGGCUGUUGGUUGCAAACAACAAACAUACCCCAUGGUCUUUGAUUUUGUAUUUUAAGUGUCAAAGAUGGUGUUUUGCUGCUCUAAUGCUCAUUUUUUCAAGCCAGAAGUUGUCAUAUUUAACAAGAUGAUUCAGCAUGAAGCUAUCAGCGAACAGUUUGGUUAGAAUAUCCAUCCUGAAAUCAGACGGCUCAGACACACUAGAAUUUAAAUCUGGAGAACAGGAUUUUUGGAUGGGCUGUACUAACAGAAGAUGACAGUCUGGGAUUGACAUUAAAAAUUAUAAUAACACUCCUCAGUGUAAAAAACUAUCUCAUCAUCUGCAUGAUGGUGAUAUGCAAAUGACGAUAAAGUCAAAAAUCUAAACUGUAUGUUUGUGAUCUUUGGACCCUCAGGCAGCCCUGCAUUAAAAAACCAACAUGAUUCAGUCAUGGAAACAACUGCAUGGACUCAGCAACAUUUCCAGAAAUCACAGUCUUUGAACACAGCUCUCUGUGCCAUCCCCAAAUGCAGGGUAACACACAUCUAUGCAAAGAACGUCUCUGGGAAAAAGCUUGUUAAAAGGCCAAGUGGAAAAUUGUUCUGUGGACAA